rnacentral:rRNA from 1 species
GCCCAGACUCCUACGGGAGGCAGCAGUGGGGGAUAUUGCACAAUGGGGGAAACCCUGAUGCAGCGACGCCGCGUGUGGGAAGACGGUCCUCUGGAUUGUAAACCACUGUCCCCAGGGACGAAGAUGACGGUACCUGGGGAGGAAGCUCCGGCUAACUACGUGCCAGCAGCCGCGGUAAUACGUAGGGGGCAAGCGUUAUCCGGAUUUACUGGGUGUAAAGGGAGCGUAGACGGUUAAUCAAGUCAGAAGUGAAAACCCAGGGCGCAACCUUGGGACUGCUUUUGAAACUGAGUAGCUAGAGUGCAGGAGAGGUAAGCGGAAUUCCUAGUGUAGCGGUGAAAUGCGUAGAUAUUAGGAGGAACACCAGUGGCGAAGGCGGCUUACUGGACUGUAACUGACGUUGAGGCUCGAAAGCGUGGGGAGCAAACAGGAUUAGAUACCCCGGUAAU